rnacentral:rRNA from 1 species
GACGAACGCUGGCGGCGUGCUUAACACAUGCAAGUCGAGCGGUAAGGCCCUUUCGGGGGUACACGAGCGGCGAACGGGUGAGUAACACGUGGGUGACCUGCCUUUAGCUCUGGGAUAAGCCUGGGAAACUGGGUCUAAUACCGGAUAUGACCCUAUGGCGCAUGUUGUGGGUGGAAAGCCUUGUGCGGCUAGGGAUGGGCCCGCGGCCUAUCAGCUUGUUGGUGGGGUGAUGGCCUACCAAGGCGACGACGGGUAGCCGGCCUGAGAGGGCGACCGGCCACACUGGGACUGAGACACGGCCCAGGACUCCUACGGGAGGCAGGCAGUGGGGAAUCUUGCGCAAUGGGCGAAAGCCUGACGCAGCGACGCCGCGUGAGGGAUGACGGCCUCGGUU